rnacentral:rRNA from 1 species
UGCCAGCCGCCGCGGUAAUACGGAGGGUGCAAGCGUUAUCCGGAAUCACUGGGUUUAAAGGGUGCGUAGGCGGUUAGAUAAGUCAGAGGUGAAAGGUUGUCGCUUAACGAUAAAAUUGCCUUUGAUACUGUUUAACUAGAAUUAGGUUGAGGUAGGCGGAAUGCGACAUGUAGCGGUGAAAUGCAUAGAUAUGUCGUAGAACACCAAUUGCGAAGGCAGCUUACUAGACCUAUAUUGACGCUGAGGCACGAAAGCGUGGGGAGCGAACAGGAUUAGAUA